CCAAUCGGUGACAUGGUGGCGUUUGCUCAUUAUGCCACUGCUGUGGUGAGUCUGGAUAACUGUGCCGAUCGUAUGGCCUCGAGCCGGCGACAUUUCGAUUAAAUUUCUGCCCUAUCAACUWGUUGGUAAGGUAGUGGCUUACCAAGGUGAUAACGGGUAACGGGGAAUCAGGGUUYGAUUCCGGAGAGGGAGCCUGAGAAACGGCUACCACAUCCAAGGACGGCAGCAGGCGCGCAAAUUACCCAAUCCAGACACUGGGAGGUGGUGACGAGAAAUACCAGGUCGGUCCCAAAAGGAUUCGACACUGGAAUGAGUUUAAUUUAAAAAUUUAAACGAGAAACAACUGGAGGGCAAGUCUGGUGCCAGCAGCCGCGGUAAUUCCAGCUCCAGUAGUGUAUCCAAACGUUGCUGCGGUUAAAACGCUCGUAGUUGGACAAGAGAGUAACUUGGUGCGGGCGGGGAGUGUGAAGCUCUAUGUGUUUGCCUGUUGUGGUUGGUGUUGCUUGUAUUGUGUAAAAGCUUAUGAGUGCACUGGCGCUUCAGGAUGUAGCAUAGUAGUGCACUUGUCGACCAUGCUGCCAGGUUGCUUGUAAUGUUUCGUGAGAAUGGUGCAUGGUCUUUAUUGUAUUGUGUACUGUGUCUUACGUAGUGUGCCUUGAAUAAAUCAGAGUGCUCAAAGCAAGCUAUCGCUUGAAUGUUAAUAGCAUGGAACGAAUGUGAUGUGAGAGUGUGCUAGUGACUGGGCUUCGUGCACGGUCCUAGUGCAUAGCACCAACCGCGAAGCGGAACAUUGGUUGCCGACUUCGGGUGAGGAUUAAGAGGGGCAUUUGGGGGCAUUAGUAUUUGGCCGCGAGAGGUGAAAUUCUUGGACCGGCCAAGGACUAACAAGUGCGAAAGCAUUUGCCAAGUAUGUUCCCUUUAAUCAAGAACGAAAGUGAGAGGUUCGAAGACGAUCAGAUACCGUCCUAGUUCUCACCGUAAACGAUGCCAACCCGGGAUCAGUGCGGAUGAUAUGAUUUGGAUCCAGGUUGGUCCCCCUGGGAAACCUUGAGUGUUUAGGUUCCGGGGGGAGUAUGGUUGCAAGGCUGAAACUUAAAGGAAUUGACGGAAGGGCACCACCAGGGGUGGAGCCUGCGGCUCAAUUUGACUCAACACGGGAAAACUCACCUGGUCCGGACAUCGAUAGGAUUGACAGACUAAUAGAUCUUUCAUGAUACGGUGGGUGGUGGUGCAUGGCCGUUCUUAGUUCGUGGAGCGAUCUGUCAGGUUGAUUCCGGUAACGGACGAGACUACGUUCCCCAUUUGGGGAAGUGCAGGACAGGUGACGGCGGGAGCCCCCGGCCGGAAACGGGAGGGCGGCGACUGGUACGCCUGUUCCUGGACUGCGCGC
rnacentral:rRNA from 1 species